UAGGGAAUCUUCCGCAAUGGGCGAAAGCCUGACGGAGCAACGCCGCGUGAGUGAUGAAGGUCUUCGGAUCGUAAAACUCUGUUAUUAGGGAAGAACAAAUGUGUAAGUAACUAUGCACGUCUUGACGGUACCUAAUCAGAAAGCCACGGCUAACUACGUGCCAGCAGCCGCGGUAAUACGUAGGUGGCAAGCGUUAUCCGGAAUUAUUGGGCGUAAAGCGCGCGUAGGCGGUUUUUUAAGUCUGAUGUGAAAGCCCACGGCUCAACCGUGGAGGAUCAUUGGUAACUGGAAAACUUUAGUGCAGAAGUGGAAAGUGGAAUUCCAUGUGUUGCGGUGAAAUGCGCCGAGAUAUGGAGGAACACCAGUGGCGAAGGCGACUUUCUGGUCUGUAACUUCCGCUGCUGUGCGACAGCGUGGGGAUCAAACAGG
rnacentral:rRNA from 1 species